UGCAUAUCAAUAAGCGGAGGAAAGAAACCAACAGGGAUUGCCUCAGUAACGGCGAGUGAAGCGGCAACAGCUCAAAUUGAAAUCUGGCUCUUCCAGGGUCCGAGUUGUAAUUUGUAGAAGAUGCUUUGGGUGUGGCUCCGGUCUAAGUUCCUUGGAACAGGACGUCAUAGAGGGUGAGAAUCCCGUACGUGACUGGGUGCCUUCGCUCGUGUAAAGCUCUUUCGACGAGUCGAGUUGUUUGGGAAUGCAGCUCAAAAUGGGUGGUAAAUUUCAUCUAAAGCUAAAUAUUGGCCAGAGACCGAUAGCGCACAAGUAGAGUGAUCGAAAGAUGAAAAGCACUUUGGAAAGAGAGUUAAACAGUACGUGAAAUUGUUGAAAGGGAAGCGCUUGCAACCAGACUUGUGCGCUGCUGAUCAUCCGAGCUUUUGCCCGGUGCACUCGGCAGCGCUCAGGCCAGCAUCGGUUUUGGUGGGCGGAUAAAGGCCUUGGGGAUGUAGCUCUCUUCGGGGAGUGUUAUAGCCCUCGGUGCAAUGCGCCCUACCGGGACCGAGGACCGCGCUUCGGCUAGGAUGCUGGCGUAAUGGUUGUAAGCGACCCGUCUUGAACACGGACCA
rnacentral:rRNA from 1 species